GCUGCUCCCCCCGGCCCGGCUGCCUCACCGCUCCCGGCGGCUCCCCGCUUGGAAAUGGAGACCGGCAACUCUCACCAGAGCUCACCAGCAUCCCACGCCCAUGGUAUCAGCUUUAAAAAGUAAAGCUGCUCGUAGUGGGGCUGAGAUCGCAGGUGCCACCACAGAGGCCCAUGGUAAGCAUCACUAAAAAGCAAGAGAAAACAGAGUCCCCAGGCAAGACUACAGUGCUGGUACACAACCAUGUACAGCCUCAUUCCAGCCUUCUACAGCACCUGCCACAGCAAAAGCCUUGACGCAAACCGAUUCCAAGUCUGCUCCUUCAACCCACCGGCAGCCCAGGGGCCCGAGAAGCUGGCUGUCCCUGCGAGGCUCCCUGGCACCCACCUGGGGGAACAUGUUCCUCCUUAAACGGGCCCUGUCCGUGAGAGGUGAACGCCGAGCAUGACACCUCGGGAAAUACCAGAAUUAUGCGGCUGGGAAGCAAAGGACCCCGGAUUUAACAGCUCUCCCGCUUUGCAAGGGCGGUUCUGUGUUAUUGUCCUAAUUUCUUACAGAACCCGAGGUGCUCUGUUAUACUCAAAAGAAAAAAUAAGAUUCCGAGUGAAGCCUUCAGAAUAAAAGGCUGGUUAGUGUAACAUUCCCGGGGCAGCUACCACCCGGCUCCUAUGAACUACAGUGGGGGGAAGCUUGAGAAACCCCGGGCAGAUCCCAUUAGCCAAGGCGGCUGCGGCUCUGGAAGCCAGUCAACUUCGCUCUUCCAGCUGACUGCUGGAUUAUGCCCGGAUGAGUUUUACAUAUAGCAGGCUGUAUACGGAGUAUGUCUUUAUGUUUAACAUUUUAAUUUGGGCAUGCUAAUUAGACAUUCGGUCCCCACGGUUAUAUCAGUAGAUACCUAAUCAUUUCCCACUAGAAGUAAAGGAAUACUCAAGACGGUAAACACUCUACUUUCUUUCCCUAGCUCAGCUACAGCAUCGCUUCUUACAUCCCUCUUCCAGAGGCGUCCCUUCGAACAAAAUAGGCAUUUAUUAAAUGAAAGGGAGCGGGGGGGGGGGGGGGGGGGGGAAUGGAAAAAAAUUGCUCCCUGUAGCACUCUUACAAUUGAGGUGCGGAGACCCGGCAAUCCUGGCCGAUCCAGGCUUUUUGGAGGUCAGGCAGCAAAGUAGUUCGAGCUUUGCCGAGUUAACUUGUUGCUCUAUUUAGCCUGAAGUUUUUGCUGGUCGCUUGCGGUACCCCGAAGCUGCUGACUGAGGGAGGCACAGCGCAGGGAGCUGCGCUUCGAACUUUGGUGCUAUUAAAAAUACAACGCAGGGCACACUUGGGGGGACUGGGGGGUGAGGGGAGGCAGAGGGAACCGGGGGGGAGGAAAUCCGCUUUGUCCCAAAACCGAGCUGAUGGACUUUGCGGGGUCUCUUCCAACUCAAAAACCCACCCGCUGAUGAGGCGAGGGAAAUGUUCACUUAACUACGGCAAAUCUCGAGUAAGCGACCACGUUUCUGAGAAGAAUUGCGCUCUGGAAAUGUGUUUUACUAGUCUGGAAUAUUGCUAGUGCUUAUUUCGCCAAACGUGGUAGGUGGAAAGUUUUGUUCAUGUAAAUAUCUCAAUCUUUUUCCCGCACGGUCAAUACAGACGGAGACUCGACUCCGUUUUCCAAACGAAGACCCACAAACACUUUAAAUGAAAAGUUUAUGUUCGUGUAGGUCGUUUCCUCUCUUCAAUUUCUUUUCUCUCCCCCCCCCCAUCAUUUUUUUUUUUCCCCAUCUUUUUCUGUAUGUGUGUGUAAGUGUUAGGUUUUUAGGCGGGGAGCUCAUCUUGCCAGGAUCUAUCAUAUUUAUGGGCUGUGUGAUUUCCAGGGCUCCAAUUGGUCUUUCCUUUAUGGAGGCAAGGAAUAAAACUUUCCCAGUCGGACGGAAACUGCUGGGGCUCCAGAGGAGGGGAACAAAGUGGCUUCAAUUCUCCCCUCAGCCCCGGGGCCACCUCUUCCCACCUCCCGCUCCGGGGGCUGCCGGGGACAUUCCCCCUCCCCCCCUUGCAGGUGCGCUAGGGGAUGCUGCAGCCACGCUUGUCCGUGUGCCCAGCAUCGUACCGUGUUUAGGGAGGAAUACCGCAAGAAAAACUAAAUUUCUCCUUCCUACCCACUCUUGCAGCCACUUAGGAGGGAAACGGAGGAAAGAAGAGGGCGCCUGGGGUAAGGGACUGAGCCUACGUGUGUUUGGAAAGGGACAGAGAGCCGGAGCGGUGCCGAGUUGCGGCCGCCGUCGAUGUGUGUCGGUUUUAGUUGAGGUUGGUGUCCGCGAGUGUCCCGGGCGGCGACAACGUGUGCCCGGUGUGCGGCCGGUGCAGGCAGGGCGGGAAACAGG